GUUGUAUCUGUUCUUAUCAGUUUAAUAUCUGAUAUGUCCUUUAUUUGAGGACUUUAUAUUAAAUUGAUUUUUGAAACGGGGCUGGAAUAGGAGCUUGCUCUGUCCACCCCAUGCAUUGACCUGGUAUUGCAGUGCCACCAGGACCGGACC
rnacentral:snRNA from 1 species